AUGAUCUAUCUUGGAUUUGAUUGCUUUGAUUUUAAGAAGCUUCGAUCAUUUUAAAGUUGCUCUUCUGGAGUAAGACGAGAGAUCUCAUGCACAGCUAUGUAGCCAUCACAGGACCGUUCUGGACAUUAGAAGACACACUGGUGGGAUUCAUGUUCAAUGAUCUGAUCUGGUGUGGACAGCAGGAGAGAGACAGAGGUUUUGACUAUCAGUCCUGUCCAGACUGGUCAAGCUGUUUGAACCAUCCUGUGUACUCACUAUGGAAGCAAGCUUCUCAGAAUUUUGCAAUGGCAGCAUGCGGAAAUAUUACAGUCUUGCUAAAUGGAUCAAUUCAUCAUGCUUUCAACAAAAAAAGG